GUCCCCUACCCGGGGACCGUGUAUUAAAUUGAUUUUUGCAGCCGGGAGACGGAACGGGAGCUCGCUCCGUCCGCUCCACGCAUCGGCCUGGUAUUGCACUAUUUCUGGGAUCGGUGC
rnacentral:snRNA from 1 species